CGGAGCUAGACCUGCUGGGGACAUUGCAGUGCCACUGGAGGUACAGAAGGCUGUCCCGCCACUUCAGCCACGUACCUUUAGUUGAAGUAACACACAAAGAGAUGCUUUUAGUUUUGAUUUUAAAGUGAUUUUAACAGUAUUUUAUUAAUUCUUUGAGAACGUCAUAUAAUGUACCUUGAUCAUAUUCAUACCCCGGCUCCUCCCAGGGCCUCGCCUUCUCUCCCUUCCCACUUCGUGUCCUUGUUUUUCCGGAGAGACUAUUUCACGGCAGACGUCUUAAUCCUCUGGCUCUUACAGUUCUUCUGGCCCCUUUUCUGAAAUGUUCUCUGAGCCGUCGGCAUAGGGGCUGUGUUAUGAAUGGAUGGAACCUCCCAUUGGGCCAUUUAAACAAGGCGCCUGUUUUUCUGGAUUUUGUCUUUAUUAACCUUCCCAGCCCACAGUUAAAGCUGGUGGGACCAUGCCCUGCACUUGAUCCUCUGCGUCCCAUGAAUCUGGAUUGAGAGAAGAAGCCAUAAGAGAAAUGGAAGACUUCUCCCUGGUUCUUGGAUCUGAGACAGCUAAGCCACCUUCUCUGGAUCUCUGUUGUCAGUGGAUCUCCUCCUAGAGCUGGGAGGCUCCGUUUGAAAAAUGACCACAAUUAUUGUCCUUCUUGAACCUACAGGUCUUGUGAAUUAACUGUGUUGCUUCUCCUCUCAGGAAGUAGAACAUAUGUAUUUUCAUUUGAUUCUGGCAUUAUUUUAUGAUGUAUUUUGCCUAACAGAAACGGUAGACUGAUACUGGCUGGGCCGAUUCUUCCCUAUACAGUCACUUGAUUACUGGAAUCCUCCUCAGGUACUGACUGUGAAAGGACAGGACAGCCUGCUACCCACUGAAGGCAGCCUAGUGAGAGAGUGCCCCGCUGACCUUGAAGCUGACCUUGAAGCUGACCGGGAAUGUCUAAAUGACCUGACAGAGACCAGAGAACUGACCAGCAGCAGCCAGUCUGGUUUCCCACUGGUAGAAUUUCAAGCUUAAGCACUGCUAUUUAAACCGACUGUGUCUUAGAAUGACUUCUCAUGCCACGAAAGUUUACUGAUGUCCCAUAAAGGUUAGAGGUGCGUCUACACAAGGAGUUACAUUCAUGCUUGAAUGAUCACAUCUGCCACAUAAGGAAAGAAAGUGCAGAGGAUGAGCCACACAGAAGAGAAGAGAUACAUAGGGAGGACUAUAGAGUGAGGUUGUUUCCAACUUUAGUGAACUCUAGGUGAAAACCAGGUGCUAGAAUCAAUGGUUCUGCCCGUCACAGAGAGAUGUCCAGUCAGCUCCUCAGGCACUGAUGAGGUUUCAAAGCUCAGGAAACAUGUUCCUGAAAGAGGUCAACAAUGCAUAUCUGAAACUUGGACCCUCCACAGGAGAAACUCAACACCCUGUUGGAGUCAGAUAAGCAGAACUUGUUCUGAGAGCGUCGUCCAAGUGAGACCGCAGAGGACGGAGCCAGAUUGAGACCACCAUCAGCCACAGAGCCGGAGGCACAAGGACCAUCAAAUAUACUCCGGUGGGAGCUGACUUGGACUCACCCAGAUAGGUCAGAUCCAAACUGUCAGAUCCAAGCUGUCAGAGCCAAGCAGCACUGGACAAUCCCACAGGCCUCAAAACAGCAGCAAAGACAAUCAGAAAGUCCGGCUAACUCAAGAAAAGUGCCCCCCCCCCCAAUUAACUGAUGCCCACCAAGUCAGCUGGAAACAGUUCUGAGAGACACAGUGCCCCCAUUCCCGGUCACCCUCUACCUCUAACCCCUUAGUUUUCAUAAUAGCAAAAAGGGUGGACUGUUAUUAUCCCUAGCCAUUUCUGGAGUCACAUGACUGCAUAAGCACUGUCAGCAGUCGGACAAAAUGCUUAGUCACUUAGGGCCUAACAUCCUACUUAAUCCAUGCAAAUCGUGGUCAUGUAAUCUACACACCUGCAUGGUGUAGCUGUGUAAGCCCAUAGACACAUGCUCGAGGUGACCUAUAAAGCAGGCUCUACCCACUCCCCACUCUCUCUCUCCUUCUCUCCAGAGGUAGCACACACCUCUCUCUCUUUCCUUUUCCCACCACACUUUUCUUUUCUUUAGACCUACCUCCCCCCUUUCCCUUCCCUGAUAAAAACUCUUAUAGUGUGUUCCGUUGUACCUCAUGUUUUCUCGCUCCUGGUAAAU